rnacentral:tRNA from 1 species
CAAAGUAUAGCUCAGUGAUAGAGUGCUUGUCUAGCAUGCACGAGGUUCUGGGUUCAAUCCCCAGUACCUCAA